rnacentral:misc_RNA from 1 species
CCUUCCUCUUCCUCCCGGUCUGUUUCGGUACAGCCAUUUUUUAGUUCGGAAGCGUGUUAGUUCGCGUCGUGUAAUAUUACGUUGUUUUACUGAAUUUAUAGACUUGGUUCUAAUACGAGCCAAAAAUGCCAGGAUUUAGCAGCGUGGGUACGUUUAAAAUUUUUAUUGGUAACUUAGCUGAUAAAACAUCAAACGCUGAUAUCAAGCCACUUUUCGAGAAAUAUGGAAAAGUCGUAGAAUGUGAUGUUGUUAAAAAUUAUGGAUUUGUGCAUAUGGAGAAUGAAGAAGCUGGAAGAAAUGCAAUUCAGAAUUUGAAUGGACAAAUAGUUCAUGGACAGCCCAUAAAGUGUGAAGCUGCAAAGAGUCGUAAAGGACCCAAUACCCCUACGACAAAAAUUUUUGUUGGCAAUCUUACAGAUAACACGAAAGCACCUCAAGUGCGCGAAUUGUUUGCUAAAUAUGGCACUGUCGUAGAAUGCGAUAUAGUGAGAAACUAUGGAUUCGUCCAUCUAGAAGCCACAGGUGACGUGAACGAUGCCAUCAAGGAGCUUAAUGGGCAAAUCGUCGAUGGUCAACCUAUGAAGGUUCAAAUUUCCACUAGCAGAGUACGACAAAGGCCAGGAAUGGGAGAUCCAGAACAAUGCUACCGAUGCGGACGUGGAGGCCAUUGGUCCAAGGAAUGUCCAAAAGGAGGAAUGGGAGGAGGACCGGACAGGAAUGGAUUUCGCGACAGAAUGUUUGGACGUGACCCGUAUCCUCCACCGCCGCCACCACCUUUCCUUCGGGACCGGCUAAUGGGUGGUGGCCGCUUUGGAGACUACGAAAGCUACUAUGACAGGAGGGGCUUCGACGACACCAGGGAUCUCUACGAGAGGCGGUUUACGGGUAUGACAGGGCCCUGUGACAUGGGAACAUCCAUGUGCGGGCUAGACUUUCCACCAAUGACAAUGCCACCUCUACCUCCCAGACGAGACCCAAUGCCUCCUAUGCCUCCUCUAGGUAUGGGAUCCAUGCGUGACACUGGCUUCUCCCGAGGCAACGAUUAUGGCAUGUUCAGCCGACGAUCACCCCCUCCAAGCGGCAACAACGGCCGGUUCAGUGCACCUCAGGCUGCGUACCAUCUUUGUCCAUGAAUGCGGACAACCCUAGAGAGACAGUCCUGGGUCAACGUUCAAGUCAUGCAAGAACCGGGAUUACGAGGGCCAUCGCCGUCGCGCCGGUUCGCACCAUACUAAAUCGUCGCGUCGGGCUCGGAUCGGUCUGUCGGUCUGUCCGUCUCUCUCUGUGUCGGGUCUGAUCGCUAGCAGGAAGCCUCGGGACCGAGAUACUCUUGGCCGUCUGUCGAUCUGCACGCGCGAAGAUCUGCCGCAACCGCUAUAUGAGAAAAGAAACACAAGUACAUUCUGUCACCCGCAGGGCGCCCAUUUAAUAAUUAGAUUAUUCUUAAUAAAUAAACUUAUGAUAAAAAGAAAUGAAAUGAAAUGAAA